AAUGGGGUAGGAUUCAAUGCGUUAAGGACCAGCGGAACGGAAUGUGAACGUUGGUAGAAGAACUUUAGGUUCGCGUCAUUGUUUUCGCAUUCACCAAU
rfam:Lactobacillus senioris DSM 24302 = JCM 17472 strain DSM 24302 NODE_26, whole genome shotgun sequence.